UCCAGAUCUCCAGCGCUCACUCGGUUAUUUUUGUGUUAAAUAUUUUCCAUCUCGUGUUGUGUUUCGCGCAGGCCAGAUGAGGAGGAGGACGUCAAGGCGCGGUGUCACUACCGCUGUGUGCAGAUCGACAAUAUAGUCUACAUGCUUGAUGACGAUGUGUAUGUCCAGGUUGCGAACAACGGCAGGGAUGCCAUUGCUAAAGCCUAUUCCAGCCAUUUGGUGAGCUCAUUGUUGACAACAAGGCUAUGUUGUACUUUGAAAACGGAGCCACAUUUUGCAAGUUUUGGUGACUCUUCAGAGUUCUUCAUUGAUCCUGGUGGCACACUGAUAGCCUGAAAUUUUAUCCUCUUGGCAAGAACAUGAGCAACCAUCCUUACCUGUCGAAUUCUUGCGGAGCAAUGCUGCCAAGGAUUAUGUUCGGUGGCCGCCCCCAUGUGUUAUGUUCUUUUCGCCCCUUAGAUGAUUAUUUUGCUCAUACUGAGUUAUGUGGUUUUUCCGUGUUGGGUUGGUUGGUAUGUCCUUGCUUAUUUUUGAUACAACACAUGC